ensembl:lncRNA
AUGCGCUUUGGAAUUUUUAUCAGCUUUUCUAGCUAUUCUUGGAUAAAUACAGCCAGCGAGAGAGGGAACACAAGCAGGGGGAGUGGGAGAGGAAGAAGCAGGCUCAUAGUAGAGGAGCCUGAUGUGGGGCUCAAUCCCAUAGCGCCGGGAUCACGCCCUGAGCCGAAGGCAGACGCUUAACCGCUGUGCCACCCAGGCGCCCCUCUGCCUACUUUUUCUAUCAAGGACUGACAACUGAUUCCUAUGGUUUUCUUCAUGUUAUUCAAUAUGCUGAUGAUAGCAUUGUUGAGAUCAAUUCUGAUCUUAAUGUGAAUUAAUCAGACAUUUCGCUAGUGGGUGUGGUAAAUUUCCGUAAGUUUAUAGUAGAUUCUUUUUAUGAGUAAAGAAGUUUUCUCCUAUUCCUAAGUUGCUAUGAAUUGUGAUAGUAAAUGCUGAAUUUCACUAAUGCAUUUAAUGAGAUGAUCAGAAAACUUUUCUUCUUCAAGAUAUUAACAUACUGAACUCAUAGUAAACUUUUAAAUGCUAAAGUGUUCUUGCAUUCCUGCCUGGUAUUAAUCCAAUUUGAUCAUGAUGUAUAAUUUUUAAAUGCAUAGUUAAUUCAGUUUCCUGAUACUUCUUUUUAAAAAAAGAUUUUAUUUAUUUAUUUGAGGGAGAGUGAGAGAGAGAGAGAGAACACAAGCAGGUGGAGUGGCAGGCAGAGGGAGAGGGAGAAGCAGGCUCUCUGCUGAGCAGAGAACCAGACAAGGGGCUCAGUCCCAGAACCCUGGGAUCAUGACCCAAGCUAAAGGCAGCCACUUAACCAACUGAGCCACCCAGGUGCCCCAGUGUCCUGAUACAAUGAUUUUUGCAUCUAUGACUCAUGAAAGGCCAGAAGAUUUCCUUUCUUGUUCUGUCCUUCACUAGUUUUCAUAUCAAAUUUUUCCUAUUUUCUGCUUUCUGUAUAUCUUGAUUUUUAUGUUUCUCUUUUUUCACCAUUCUGAAUUUCUUUUGGAUUACUGUAGUUUUUUAAAACACUUCUACUGCCCUCCCCCACACACACUGACUUGGAAAUUAUAAAUUCUAUUUCUCUUGGUUUUUCCUUUGAAAAUUAUAAUAAAUAUUACACAUAGUUCUGACUAAUUCCAUCUUACUAUGUAAUUGUCCACUAUUUUUUGUCAGAUCUUCUUUUCUUGCUCCCUGAGUUAGACAUUGAUAUUAUUGUUCAAAUUUUUAAGAAAAAUAUAUCUUUUUCUUUAUUUUUAUCAAUUACUUCAUCAUUAUUCCUUCUCAUUUUUCUGGGACGGUUUUCUCUUUUUUGAAAUAUACUUUGGAAUUUCCUUUAUUGAGGGUUUAUUGGAGAAGAAUGAAUCUAUUUUUGGUUGUUGUUCUAAUAUGUUUUUAUUUUGUCUACAUCCCUGAAUAAUAACUUAUCUGUAUAUAUAAUGACAGGUUGAAAUUAAUCUGUAUCAGUACUUUGAAAUGUUCUUGUUUCCACUGUUGAGAUUGAGAAGUCUGCAGUGAAUCUAAUUAUUAUUACCUACAAAGGUCAUCUUUUUCUUCUGACUGCUUUUAAAAUUAUCUCUCUGUCUUUGCUUUUAUUUUUACUAUGUAUGUUGUGGAAGAAUUUUCCUUUAUUUAUUCUGAUUAUGAGGAUUUGUCCUUUAUUAAUUAUAAACAUUUAUUAACUAUUAUCUCUUGAAAUAUUGCCUCUUCCUUUUUCUAUUUGCUUCUUUCUUCUAGAACAUCAUAUAAAUACAUAUAUAUAAAUGUGUGUAUAUAUGUAUGUGUACAUAUAUAAUAUACAUAUACACACAUAUGUACAUGUAUAUACAUACAUAUAUUUUAUCCUUCAUGUGUCUUAAUCUCUCUCAUAUUUGUUCUUUAUUUUUGUGUGCAAUUUUUUAGAAAAUUAAUUUGGAUCUGUCUUCCAAUUUCCCAAUUUUUCUUAUAAGUUACAUGUAGUCCAUUAUUUAAAGCACAUUGAAUAUUUAAAUUCAAUGAUUACAUUUUUUCCUACAACUUCUAUUUGUUUACUUUUCAGAUCUGCCAAUAUUUGGAAACAAAAUAUCUGGUUAAUUGCUUCAUUUCUAUUUAUUUCUACUUCUUCAAGCAUUUAAACAUUUUAAUUUUGUGACUUUCAUAAUUCUGAGAUGUGAGAUCAUGUUUGGCCUGAUUUUAUCUGCUUGACUUAGACUUCUGAGAGCUUAGAUUAAAUGUAUGCCCUUUAAGGAGAAUGUUCUGCCAGGUACCCAGAACUCUGCCCAUGAGGACAGCUGCAAAUUUAUUUCUCAAGCUUGGCACUUCCCAUGCCAUACAAGUAGUUUAAAUUAAAUCCCUAAAGCUGUCCAAAUCAUGCCUGUGUUUACAAAUCCCCAAAGGAGAAUUUUUCCUUACUCACAGCACAAAUUAAGACAGAUAUAGUUUCUGAUUGUACAGAUUUUGCCUUAUUUAUCAUUUUACAGAAGGCAUAGGCCUUCAAAAACCACAGAUUUGUGUGGGGGUAGGAGGGCUGGAUUUAAUUUUAACUCUACCUGGAAUGGUUCCAGGCCUUAUUUGUUUUUUCUGUGUGUCAUUAAACCCUGAUCCUCUAGAUAACUCAGAUCAGAAAAUACCCUGAGGGCUACUUCAACUCACCAAUAUAAAGCACAAAGAAGAGUAAUCUGUAGAUAGAAAGCAUUAUGUAUAAAUACACACUAAAUAAAUAAUGGAAAAUGUCACAUAGGAAAUGGUUGGUGGGGCACCUGGGUGGCUCAGUCCAUUAAACGUCUGCCUUUGGCUCAGGUCAUGAUCCCAGGGUCCUGGGAUAGAGCCCUGCAUUGGGCUCUCUGCCCAGCGGGGAGCCUGCUUCCCCCCACCCCCCAUUGUGGUCUCUCUUUCUCUCUCUCUGUCAAAUAAAUAAAUCAAUAAAUCUUGAAAGAAAAAAAAAAGAAAAGGAAAGAAAGAAAGAAAGAAAGAAAGAAAGAAAGAGAAAAAGAAAGAAAGAAAGAAAGAAAGAGAAAAAGAAAGAAAGAAAGAAAGAAAGAAAGAAAGAAAGAAAGAAAGAAAAAGAGAGAGAAAAAGAAGAAAGAAAAGAAAUGGUUGGUGGUACCAGAAAUGUUUAAUUUCGACAAGUUGUGACAUUUUGUUAGGGUUGAGGAUGAGUGGGCAGAUCAUUUGGUAGCUUUCCAUACUUGUUUCAAGUAUUCAAAUGUUAGAGAAGUUGAAAGAGAUUUGCUCUGUAUGACCUAAAAGAACAGUAUUGUAUUUAGAUUGAUCAAUCAAUAAAUAUAGCAACCAUUGCUGUCUGGCACUAGAAACUAUAAAGAACUGAAAUAGCAUCAUUUGAUUUGUUUUCUUACUCAUUUUUCAAAAAUUUAACAUUAAAUCAUAAAACUUUAAAAAUAAUUGAAAGUUUUCAAAACAUGAUUAUUGGCUCCACAAUAUCUUGUAAUUUGGAAAUGACAUGAUUUAUGUAAUCAUUCUCUUGUAGAGUUAAUUUUUGCUCUCAAGAGUACCGUAAAAAACAUCCAUACUACCUUUUUAAAAGAUCUCUGAUAAUCCUUGGAUAGAUUGCUAAAAGUGUCCAAAGGUCAUGAAUAAGUUUUAAAGGCAUUUGAUAUUUGUUUUCCAAAUUGUUUUCUGGGAAGGUUCUGGAAAGUUUAGACCAAUUUACACUCCACCAGCAGUACAUGAUCGUAUUUGUCUCAUUUCUGUAAUUUCUUUUCUGGGUGUAUUUACUACAAUUUUAAAACCAGGAUCUCAUGUUUGCAAUCUGUAAUACUUAAACUACAAGUGUUUCUCAUAAAUUAUUCACCAGAUUUGUAAUGAUAAACAGUUGCCAAAUUGAUGGCUAUGCAGGUAUUAUAGUUAUAAUAACUUGACAUGGCCUCUUUCUGCUGCUUCUGUUGAACAGUCCCCUUGUUUCUUUUGCCCAAAGGAGUCUACCUAUAGUUCCAUAUGGGAUAUGUUUGAAACCUUCAUGGUUUUAGAUGCCAACUGUUAACUACCAUUAAUUGCUUUAUUAAAUUUCAUAAUAUCUAAUACAAAUCUGGAUAUAAUAGGCCCUUUGUUUUAGAUGCUAACUGUAACUACUUUUGUGGCAAUAGACAUAGAAUCUAAAAGUAAAUCCAUUUUAGAUUCCUUCUUAUAUGACAUUUUCUCUUCCUACAAUAGCAUGAAGUCCUUGAUAGCAAAGAAAUGAUGUUUAU